rnacentral:rRNA from 1 species
AUCUCUGUAGAGUCUGCAUAUCAAUAAGCGGAGGAAAAGAAACUAACAAGGAUUCCCUUAGUAACGGCGAGUGAAGCGGGGAGAGCUCAAAUUUGAAAUCUUCAAGGUUCUACCUUGACGAAUUGUAGUUUAAAGAAGUGUUUUCUGUUGGAGUUGAGUAGCAAAAGUUCUUGGAAUAGGACAUCAUAGAGGGUGAGAAUCCCGUAUUUGGUUAUUCAUUCUAGCUUUGUGAUACACUUUCAAAGAGUCGGAUUGUUUGGGAAUGCAGUCCAAAAUGGGUGGUAAAUUUCAUCUAAAGCUAAAUAUUGGCGAGAGACCGAUAGCGAACAAGUACCGUGAGGGAAAGAUGAAAAGAACUUUGAAAAGAGAGUUAAACAGUACGUGAAAUUGUCAAAAGGGAAGCGUUUGACACCAGUGUUGUUUUUCCGAAAAUCAAUUACGAAUGGCUUGAUUUUGUGUUGUAUUGACCUUAUCAGCUUUCUGCACUUUUUUCGAGUCUUUCUUAAUGCACUUUUCGGUUAACAAGUCAACAUCAAUUUCUUUUGUUGUAAAAGAGUAUUCGGAAGGUGGCUUUCUUUUCGGAGAAAGUGUUUAUAGCCCUAUACUUCUACAAUCGGAGAGAUUGAGGUCUGCAGCGUAGAUCCUUCGGGGUUAGAUACAUUUGUGCUAAGUUGUAGCUUUUCAUAGACAACUUGUUGACUAUGUUUAGUCAUGCGGCUUACUCGCUUAUGCUAUUUUACCUACGCUUAGGAUGUUGACUGAUAUGUAGUCGUA